GUAUCAUUUGCAAACCUCUUCCACCGUCAUAACUCACAAAGCUCUUCAGUUCUUCACCUUCUGUUCUUCUCUCAAUGUCGCCCUGCUCUACGACUUAAUAGCAACCUUUAGAAGGUUUCUUCCGUUUCCAGCUAAGCCAACCUCCUAAUAUCGGUAGAGCCAAGCAAAAGUUCAUUUGUACUUUUCCUAUUUGCCAUUUUUCAUGAUCCUCACCCUAGUUUUUUCUAGGGUUUCGAAAUUGCAAAAGGGGGUAAACUACAAAUCUGGAAAAGGCUUGUCGUCUGAGUUUGAAUCGCUGUGGGAAAUCAUACAGAUGGAUGUUGCCCAAUUCAGAAAACUCAGUUUUAGCCUCGACUACAAAUGAUAUGCGCCAUGAUAAGUACACCCCCAUUGAUUCUAGAAAGUUGAAGUUCGCAGCUAUACGGCUAUCUCAAAGUACACGACAGUUCCAGGCUUAGACGUGUUCGUGCUGAGCAGAGGUCUCUAUUCACUCUUCCGACAAUAUGGUUAACGCUAGAAAUGGACAGAACAUGCAAGGAACUAGGAAGGAAAGGAGAGCGGCACGUAGGCAACAAUAUCUCCUACGGCGUCAGCAAAUGGAGGACGAGCAGAAAAGGCUUGGGUUUCAAGAUGACAUGGAUCAGUUUCAGGAGGAAUAGGAGAUUGUUCAACAGACUCUGGACCAGGUCAGAGAUCCAGAGAUUCCUCCUCACCUCAAUGACCUCGUUGCUUAGGCUAUAGAGGCUGGGGUAACAGUUGCACUUCGGAAUCAACCACCGGUUCAGCAGGCACCUAUACUAGCACCGGUUGUUCAGACUAAUACUUGGGAGACGGCUAAGAGUUCUUUCACAAAGGGGAGUCUACUUGUGUUCUCAGGCUCCACCGAUGCGAAAGCAGCUCACCAGUGGAAACGGGACAUUGAGCGUCAUCUUCGCUUGGUUCAGUGCACGGAGGUUCAGAAACAGAUGCUUGGUACCUUCAAGCCGGUUGGGGAUGCACUACAGUGGUGAGAGUCAGUUACCACUGCAGAGGAGAGGAUGACAUUGAGUUAUGAUCAGUUCAGUACUCGCUUUGAUGAGAAAUAUUUUCCCUAUGCAGUCAGGGCAGCUAUGAAGACCGAGUUUCUUAAUCUGCAACAGUGAAACAUGACAGUGGCAGAGUAUGAGCAGCAGUUCACAUGCUUAUCUCUGUUUGCACAGGAGGAGGUGAAUACGAAAGAGAAGAAGCGCAACAGUUUUGUGAAGGGACUGAUGUGGUCGAUCAAGAGAGCUAUUAUAGGCAAUCCAGCCUAUACUACAUAUGCUCAGGUGGUGGACGCUGCUUUGCAGCAGUAUCAGUUGACUAUGGACAUCAGACAGGCCAAGGGUGAGAAACGGGGUGAUAAAGACUCUGCUAAUCAGUCAGCUGAGAGGGAAAAUGGAAAUAGUCAUCGACAAAAUGACAAGGGCAAGUUCCAAAGACAACAGCCUUGGAAGGAACACAAGGGUGGUACAGAUGAUAACAAGGAUGUGGCACCUAUUCAGGGGCAGCAGAAUAGGGGACCACAGACAGGAUAAGGUCAGCCACAGGCUAACAGACAGAGGAGGCCAUUUGGUACUUUCCAGGGUUGUUGCUACACUUGUGGAGAGUAUGGUUAUACCUCCAGGCAGUGUCCUAAAGCAGGACAGGGAUAGGGGCAGCAUGUGCAGUAGGGGCAGAGGGCGCCAGUACCUUUACCCGCUCCACAGGUACCCCGGAUUCAGCGACAGACUUAUCCGGCUUUACCUGCACCGCCGCAGCCUCAGGGACAGGCACCGCAGCACUUGCACAUGGCAGGGUGUACAACCCCAUGCCACAGGAUAUGUAGGCACCUCAGGCUAUUGAGGGUAAGUUUCCUAUUCAUGAUUACUAGGACGUCUUUUGUGGAGUGCCACACACUCGUUAUAUUUUGGUCUUUAUUUUUUAUUUUUAUUUUUUUUAUCUGGGAUGAGGACGAGGGUAUUAGUAUAUUGAAGUUGGGGAAUUUGAGUUGUAGCCGGAUGUAACUUAUUUAGAGCCACCAUGUCGUAUUGUCGACCGACGAGAUCAGAUUAUUCGUAAUAAGGUUAUUCCUUUGGUUCGUGUUCAGUGGAGUCAUCACAAUGAGGCAGAGUCUAAUUGGGAACUGGAGGAUGUCAUUCGCUCGCAGUUUCUUAAAAUUUUGGAUGAAGGUAAGAGCGAAUUUCGAGGACGGAAUUCCUUUUGUUAGGGGGGAAGAAUGUAAUACCCCUAGUUUUCAAAAGGAUAGUCUCAGUAUUUUGUUUAAUUGUUUUCUGUUCAUUAAUUGCUUUAUUUAUGUUUUAAUUGACUUUUUAAUUAGUCCUGGUAUUUCAUUAAUUGUUUAAUUGCAUUUUUUUUAAUUUAUUUAAUUGGUUAUUUAUUUGCGUGUUUGGUUGCAUUGAUUAUGUGAUUGUUUAAUGGUUAUUUUAACUGGAUUUUUGUUUUACUUUAAUUGAUUAAUUGGUUAAUUAUUUUCUUUUAGUUGAUUAAUUGUUUUGAUUUCAUUGGUUUGUUUGUAGUUAAUUAUUUAAUUGCUUUAGUUGAGUUGGUUUAAUUAAAUUUAUUUAGUUUUAAUGUGACUAUAUGGUUGGUUGCAUAUAUAGUAUACACAUAAGUAACCGACAUAGUUUUAACCUAGUUUUCUUUAUGGGCUGAGUAGGUUAUGUUUAGGGUUUAAUUAAACCUAAGGUUAGUGGCCUAUAAAUAUUCAAGUAAUAUUCUGACU